rnacentral:misc_RNA from 1 species
AAAAAUAUAUAUAAAAAUUGAGGAUACGGGGAGGGGAAUUGAACUGAGUUCAGGUAGGGAGCCAACCAACUAAGCUACUAAAAUUCUGCUCACAAAACACCCACUACUCAAAAGUUGUAAAACACAAAAUAUAAUUGCUACAAACUCUAUAUGCUAGUGAAUUCAAGCAAGGCAAGCAAAUUGUGUUUGGGGUUUUAGCUUGAGA